GACGAACGCUGGCGGCGUGCUUAACACAUGCAAGUCGAGCGGUAAGGCCCUUUCGGGGUACGACGAGCGGCGAACGGGUAGGAGUAACAACGUGGGUGGACCUCGCCCUCCAGCUCUGGGAGUAAGACCUCGGGAAACGUAGGGUCGUAAUAACUGGAGUAAUGACUCCACCGGUGGCAUGUCGUGGGGUGGGAAAGACCUU
rnacentral:rRNA from 1 species